rnacentral:rRNA from 1 species
GACAGAGGGUGCAAACGUUGUUCGGAAUUACUGGGCGUAAAGGGCGCGUAGGCGGGAUGGCAAGUCGGUCGUGAAAUCCCUCGGCUCAACUGAGGAGCGUCGAUCGAAACUGCCGUUCUUGAGGGUUGCAGAGGAGACUGGAAUUCCCGGUGUAGCGGUGAAAUGUGUAGAGAUCAGGAGGAACACCGGUGGCGAAGGCGGAUCUCUGGGCCUUACCUGACGCUGAGGAGCGAAAGCAUGGGGAGCAAACAGG